UGUGGACCUUGAGUUGUCAAAGGAAACUUAAAGCCAGUUACCCAGAGCUUUCUGAGCGUAAAGCCCUCUGGGUUCUGGUUCUGUCUUUUGUUCCACCGUGUUUAAAAACAUUAGGUUUUAGAUAUAAGCCUCUAUAAAUGUUGCACCCUUUUGGCGACACCAGGACAUUGUCUUUGUCAUGGUUAUGAGUUCAAACAGUAUACAACUUUCUUUUAAUAUAUACAUCUCCAGAAAAAAUGAAGAGACCACUCCACAUGUUUCUUAAAUCUUGAUUUCUUCAUGUAUGGCAGCCAUUCUCGUGUCUGUUGAAUUCCAACACAGAUAAAUGUUGUCAGUAGUUUAUAGAAUACAAUUAAAAAUCUUUUUCCUCAAAGACAUACCUAUAAAUAAUAAAACCUGAGAAACUGAUAAUGCUGCCGUGGUCGCUUUAUUUUUCCCAGAUCUGUAUUUUGGUUAUAAAAAAAUCAGUAGCAGAACAGAAAUUAUUGUGCAUGCUGUGUUAGCGGCAGCGAGUUCUCUGAUGCUCCUAACUCCUUCGCCUCUCUCUCUCACUCGUCCUUGACACAGUUUACAGCUCCAGCCGAGCCUGCUGGGAUCCCAGUGCCAGCAAACAUCCUCCACCUCAUCAGUCCUCCGCCCUCCCAUCACCUCCUUUUUUCUCCUCCGCUGCACUCCUCUUCACUGCGUGUCCGUUUACAUCUCUCUCAUCCUGACUGCUCUACAUAUUUCUUGUUUGCCUUUUCUCCUGAAAUUGCAGUGCUGCUGGCGGCCUGCCCUCAGUCUUUGUGUGAGCCAUGCGGCGCUGCAGCUCUCACACAGCCAAUACAUGCCGUGAGUGAUGAUGAGUGGAAGAGGAAGGCUGCUCCACUUGUUGGCCUCUACCUCCACACACACACACCAACACACACACACAUACACACAGAAGAACACAAAGGCUGAGGCUGUAACAGGAUAUUGCAGGGAGUGUUCUACAGAUGGAUUUGGAGCACAGCUCUGCAUUCAUUAUGGAAUUUCAGCUAAUAUGAUGAGUGGAGUGUAUUAAUGAUGACUGCCACGCACAUUUAACUGCUUUCAAUCAAUACAAAUAGUUAAUUGCAAUCUACCGCAUGAUUUCCACAUUUAACACGCGAUUAUUAAUCAGAAAUGAAUGGCACAUUAGUACUCAAAUAUGAUGGCUUUAUACAAUAUGAAUGUUUUAUAAUAUUAUUAUUGCAGCAGUCCAAAACAAAGACAAAUUUAACUUAAUUCAAUUUAAGGUAAUUUAAUUUAGGCUUAUCAGCCUGCAAUCUGUAGCAACAAAACUAUUUUAAAAAAUGCAUUUCCUGCCGAAAAUGUGUGUGAAUGCUAAAAGCUGCGCAAAUGUAUUGCUGAAAAGAAAAGUGAAAUGCUUUUAUUGUAUUUAUAAAAAUUAACCUUAUGCUGAAGUUGUUGUUUUUAGACAUUGAUAUUUUAGGGCUUUUAUUUUGAAAAACACAUCCUUCUUCCUGCGCUUCUCGUAAAGUAACAGUAAAACUAUGUGAGCGCUUGUGUGAAUGUAUCAGUUUGUCUGUGGGUGUUACUGGAUUAGUUGAUGUCACUCAGGUCCGCUACUUUAUUGAGUAUUCAACCAAGCCGUGUAAUAAAUAUAAAUAUAUAUAUAUAGAUUCACUUUUCUUCGUAUUUUUCACUGGCAGUAUCUGUCCCUUCGUACUUUGAUGGCCGAAUAAAAGAUCAAACAACA